UUAGAGUUUGAUCCUGGCUCAAGACGAACGCUGGCGGCGUGCCUAACACAUGCAAGUCGAGCGAAUGAAGUUCCUUCGGGAACGGAUUUAGCGGCGGACGGGUGAGUAACACGUGGGCAACCUGCCUCAUAGAGGGGAAUAGCCUUCCGAAAGGGAGAUUAAUACCGCAUAAGAUUGUAGUACCGCAUGGUACAGCAAUUAAAGGAGCAAUCCGCUAUGAGAUGGGCCCGCGGCGCAUUAGCUAGUUGGUGAGGUAACGGCUCACCAAGGCGACGAUGCGUAGCCGACCUGAGAGGGUGAUCGGCCACAUUGGGACUGAGACACGGCCCAGACUCCUACGGGAGGCAGCAGUGGGGAAUAUUGCACAAUGGGGGAAACCCUGAUGCAGCAACGCCGCGUGAGUGAUGACGGCCUUCGGGUUGUAAAGCUCUGUCUUCAGGGACGAUAAUGACGGUACCUGAGGAGGAAGCCACGGCUAACUACGUGCCAGCAGCCGCGGUAAUACGUAGGUGGCGAGCGUUGUCCGGAUUUACUGGGCGUAAAGGGAGCGUAGGCGGAUUUUUAAGUGAGAUGUGAAAUACUCGGGCUUAACCUGAGUGCUGCAUUUCAAACUGGAAGUCUAGAGUGCAGGAGAGGAGAAGGGAAUUCCUAGUGUAGCGGUGAAAUGCGUAGAGAUUAGGAAGAACACCAGUGGCGAAGGCGCUUCUCUGGACUGUAACUGACGCUGAGGCUCGAAAGCGUGGGGAGCAAACAGGAUUAGAUACCCUGGUAGUCCACGCCGUAAACGAUGAAUACAUAAGUGGUAAGGGGGGGGUCAUGACCUCUGUGCCGGCCGCGUACGCAUUAAAGUAAUCCACCUUGGGGGAGUGCGGUCGCAAGAAUGAAACUCAAAGGAAUUGACGGGGGCCCGCACAAGCGGAGGAACAUGUGGUUUAAUUCGAUGAUACGCGAGGAACCUUACCCGGGCUCGAACGGUGCAUGAAUAUACGAGAGAUUGUAUAGUCCUUCGGGACAUGUAUCGAGGUGCUGCAUGGUUGUCGUCAGCUCGUGCCGUGAGGUGUCGGCUUAAGUGCCAUAACGAGCGCAACCCUUGUCAUUAGUUGCCAUCAGGUCAAGCUGGGGACUUUAAUGAGACUGCCACCGUAAGGUGUGAGGAAGGGGGGGAGGACGUCAAAUCAGCACGGCCCUUAUGUCCGGGGCGACACACGUGUUACAAUGGGAGGUACAGAGGGCAGCUAUCCGGUGACGGAAUGCUAAUCUCCAAAACCUUUCUCAGUUCGGAUUGGAGUCUGCAACUCGACUCCAUGAAGGUGGAUUCGCUAGUAAUCGCGCAUCAGCCAUGGCGCGGUGAAUACGUUCCCGGGCCUUGUACUCACCGCCCGUCA
rnacentral:rRNA from 1 species